GGCCCUGUGGUCCAGUUGGUAGAGCAUAGCGCUUGCAACACCAGAGUUGUGGGUUCGACUCCCACUGGGGUCA
rnacentral:tRNA from 1 species